UGCCCAGCACCCUCACCGGCCGGCACGUGCCGCAUGGAUCUGGGGCGUGCAGCCACUCGGCACGCUGAAGCACAUGCGUGGGCAGAGUCACAACACAGAUGCUCACCCGCACACAGAGGCAUUUGCACCAGCUCCCUGCACACUCGUGCCUGGCGUGCUCAGAGGACCACCCAUGCUGCUCAGGGAGACAGGGCUUGCUCACUAAUGUCCGGCUGUCAUUUCUCCACCUAAGAGCCUUCCAUGGCUCCCUACUGCCUACAGCGUUGAAUCCCAACAAGUCAUACUCUUUGGACUUUGAAGGUUCUCCACCCUGUGCCCCACCCUCCCCACAGAGCUCUUCCUCAUUCUGUCUCUGUUCCCUGCUUUGGCCAGUG
rnacentral:lncRNA from 1 species